GUUCCUGUUGUUGUUGCUGCUGCUGCUGCUGUUCCUGCUGCUGCUAGGCCUGUUGCUGCUUUAAAUAUACCCAGUGCUGCUAAUCCUGAUCCUCCGGUUAUUGCUGCAGCAAGUAAUGCUCGUUUUACUACUUUCAUACCCUUUUGAACUACUGAUUUUACUUGGUUCACUAGAGCUACUACAUGCUUUACUUUACAUAUUGCCCACAGUAUUGUGCUUGUUGCACGUUGUAAAUAUGUUCUAAUUACUGCCACUAUUACAGCUCCUGCUAUUGCUCCAACUACUGAUGAUCCUCUCUGUGACUGUCCUAUUAAUGAUAGCAGUGUUGCUGCUGCUGUUCCUGCUAUACCUCCUGCUAUGGUUGCUAUUGCUGCUCCCACUGUUUCUUCUAUUAGUCUCACUUCUGGUUCCCAUAAUGAUCUUAAAAUGUAUAUACCCCCUCCUGCUGCGGCUCCUGCUACUGCUCCUGCUGCUGCUCCUGCAACUGUGUCAAAUACUCUUGUUCCUGCUAUGUGUAUUGCUACUGCAACUACUGCAACUGUCAGUGCCAUUUUUGUUAUGUCUAGAGAAGUUUGUUUCCAUGUUUUUGCUGGUUCACCUCCUGCUUUGUUUGCAGAUGCUGCUGUAGCUGCUUCAGGUUUGGUAUAUGCAACAAAUAAAAAUUUUGCUCUCUCAGUUAACGUCUCUGCGACAAAACCAUUGUUCCCUGACGGAUGAGUGGAGGGGAUUCCAGACAGGAAACCAGUCACUGAGUUGUAUAAAAACAUGUCAGUGAAAUUGUUCUUUGCUAUGGAUACACUUUGGAUACACUAUGGAUACUAUGGAUACACUUUGCUAUGGAACACUGCUAUGGAUCACUUGUACCCCAAUGUCAUUUAGGAGCAAUGGAGUUUGCAAUCUACUGUUUCCUCAGUGCUCACCUCAUAAUCACAGCUGUUUCCUCCAGCGAAAAUGUAACUCUUAAUGAACAUUUUACUAUUUUUAAUUCAAAAUAAACUACCAUUAUAAAGCACAUUACAGUGUAUGUGUCAUUAUCUAUACCACAGUCAUGCACAGAAAGUAUUAAACAGUGACAGAACCACUUAGUGAAUGUACUCGUUUUAUCUGUCAAUGUCACUGACAGAGAUAGAAACAUCAUGUGAUGUCUUGAAUUAAAAAUAAUUCCUAUUGUAAAAUUAUGAUUCAGCUCGUGAAAUAUGUGAAUUAGUU